CACUCUACCAUGUUCCAUUGGGGAAUUUGCUUUCAGCGAUUGUCUGUGCGAUCUCGGAGCCUCUGUUAGCUUGAUGCCACUCUCUGUGGCAAGAAGGUUAGAGUUCAUUCAAUAUAAACCUUGUGAGCUGACUUUGAUCCUUGCGGAUAGGUCUUCUAGAAAACCGUUCGGCAUGCUGAAAGACCUACCAGUCAUGAUUAAUGGCGUAGAAGUGCCUACAGACUUCGUGGUGCUGGAUAUGGAAGUAGAGCAUAAGGAUCCCUUAAUACUGGGAAGACCCUUUUUAGCGUCAGUGGGAGCAGUGAUAGAUGUCAGGGAAGGGAAAAUAAGUCUCAACCUUGGAAAGCAUAUCAAGUUGCAGUUUGGCAUCAACAAAACUCCACAAGGGUCAACCGAAGAUGGAAGAACCUCUAGAAAUGAUAGAGCGAUCUCAGGAGAAGGAUAUGAGACUGAAAGAGUGAAAGAACUUAGAAAGAGGUCUGAUAAGCAGGAUGAAACUAUAGAGAAGCUAGCCCACACCAUUGAGGAACUUAGGAGUAAGCUGAAUCGGAUGCAGAAGGAAGCUCAACCUAAAGGCGGGAUUAACACUGUCCCGAGAAAAGAAUUCACUUCAAGAUGGUCUCAAGAUACAGAUUAUCCUCCAGAAGAGAAGGAAGCCUAUUUUGAAGAAAGGGGGAUUGAGUAUUCUGCUGCAGACCUCUCCAGGGAGGACGCUGAAUAUCAUGAUGGUAUCAGAGAGGCUUAUGCUGACCCUCUCUACAGUUCAUUUUCUUCUUGAUAAUGUGAGGAGUCAAGCUAGAGACUUAAACAAGCUCA
rnacentral:sRNA from 1 species